rnacentral:rRNA from 1 species
AUAAAGACCUAGGGUCUUACUCUCGCUGUUAGUUCAAAAAAAAGACUUAAAAUCCAGAGUUCUCGUAGCUCACCUGGUUAGAGUACUACACUGAUAUUGUAGGGGUCGGCAGUUCGAGUCUGCCCGGGACUACUUUUAACAAGUAUUUUAAGAGAAAAAGGAAAUUUUAGAAGUUGAGUCCUUGAAUUUUGAAAUUUGAGAUUUAAAUUUUGAAAUUGAAACCGGGGGAUUAGCUCACUGGUAAGGGCCGCCUGCCUUGCACCCAGGAGGCCUCCGGUCCCCCCCCAAUUUCCCCCAAAAAAAAGGGAUAUUUUCUGAUGAUGUAGCCGCCCUUUGCCUUUUUGGGAUAACCCCCCCACCNGGUGGAAAGACCCAAAAAAGGGGACUUUAAAUUGGGGAAUAAGAANUGCUCCCCCUUUAAAAAAACCUAU